CAGUAAAAUAUUUUGAGAGACCACAGAUGCAUAGCUUUUAUUAGUGUUGUUAUAGUUGCUCUACUUUGUUAUUAGUUAUUCUUAAUCUCUUACUGUUUCUAACUUGUAAACUUUAUCAUAGAAAUGUAUGUAUAUACCAUAGGCAUGGGUGGUGCAGGAAGGCCCACAUAGGCCAGGGCAAGAAGUCCUCAACAGACCUCGGUGGAUUCUUGUCCUCUCCCUGACCUCAGCCAGUGUCUUCCAUGUCAUCUUGGCUUCCCACAUACUUCUGUUCCCUCUUGGAGAAAACUAAAGCCCAUUACAAUCAAGUGAUUUUGUCUGAAUUAAUGGAACAAGUGGAUGGUGGCAGGAGGAGGCACUUAGAGGCAGGUAAAUCUUCUGGAUACAAGUGGGAUAAACAGAGGGAGGGAGACUGCUCUUUUACAGGAGGACCAUAUCCAGAGAGGCACCUCAAUGAGACUGUACCAGUGACCACAAAGGGAUCUUGAAGAUCCUGUGGAUCAGAUGAAAUACUCAGACCUUAUCCAUGAUAUAGCAAGGUCUUUGAAGAGUUUUCAAGAGCAAAGUGACAUAUUAGAUCUGUAUGCAAACACAUCAAGAGCAGGAAUUUCUAUCUCAUGCUACGGCAUAUGGUAAGUGCUAGGUAUCCGCUGAAUGAACUGAAGGGACCAUCUUACAAUUUAUGUGUAACUACUCUCCCAUUCUAGACUGUAAGGCACCUGAGUGCAGGGAUGGCCCAUGGCUCCAAAAGUACUUGUUGGAUGAAAAAUAAAGACGAUAUGAUGGGGUGGUUUGCAUAUCUGUGUGCUGGCCUCUCAG
ensembl:lncRNA